rnacentral:rRNA from 1 species
AGCGAACGCUGGCGGCAGGCUUAACACAUGCAAGUCGAGCGGACCUUUCGGGGUCAGCGGCGGACGGGUGAGUAACGCGUGGGAACGUGCCUUCCGGUUCGGAAUAACCCUGGGAAACUAGGGCUAAUACCGGAUACGCCCUUAUGGGGAAAGGUUUACUGCCGGAAGAUCGGCCCGCGUCUGAUUAGCUAGUUGGUGGGGUAACGGCCUACCAAGGCGACGAUCAGUAGCUGGUCUGAGAGGAUGAUCAGCCACACUGGGACUGAGACACGGCCCAGACUCCUACGGGAGGCAGCAGUGGGGAAUAUUGGACAAUGGGCGCAAGCCUGAUCCAGCCAUGCCGCGUGAGUGAUGAAGGCCUUAGGGUUGUAAAGCUCUUUUAUCCGGGACGAUAAUGACGGUACCGGAGGAAUAAGCCCCGGCUAACUUCGUGCCAGCAGCCGCGGUAAUACGAAGGGGGCUAGCGUUGCUCGGAAUCACUGGGCGUAAAGGGCGCGUAGGCGGCGUUUUAAGUCGGGGGUGAAAGCCUGUGGCUCAACCACAGAAUGGCCUUCGAUACUGGGACGCUUGAGUAUGGUAGAGGUUGGUGGAACUGCGAGUGUAGAGGUGAAAUUCGUAGAUAUUCGCAAGAACACCGGUGGCGAAGGCGGCCAACUGGACCAUUACUGACGCUGAGGCGCGAAAGCGUGGGGAGCAAACAGG